UACGAAGGGGGCUAGCGUUGCUCGGAAUCACUGGGCGUAAAGCGCACGUAGGCGGAUUGUUAAGUCAGGGGUGAAAUCCUGGAGCUCAACUCCAGAACUGCCUUUGAUACUGGCGAUCUUGAGUCCGGGAGAGGUGAGUGGAACUCCGAGUGUAGAGGUGAAAUUCGUAGAUAUUCGGAAGAACACCAGUGGCGAAGGCGGCUCACUGGCCCGGUACUGACGCUGAUGUGCGAAAGCGUGGGGAGCAACAGG
rnacentral:rRNA from 1 species